GAGUUUGAUCCUGGCUCAGAACGAACGCUGGCGGCGUGGAUAAGACAUGCAAGUCGAACGGGAAUCACGAGAAGCUUGCUUUUUGUGAUUCUAGUGGCGGACGGGUGCGUAACACGUGAGCAACCUGCCCAAAAGAGGGGGAUAGCCCGAGGAAACUCGGAUUAAUACCGCGUAUGGUACGGAAGGGCAUCCUUCUAGUAUUAAAGGUGGGGAUCACUUCGGUGACCUGCCGCUUUUGGAUGGGCUCGCGGCCUAUCAGCUUGUUGGUGAGGUAAAGGCUCACCAAGGCUACGACGGGUAACUGGUCUGAGAGGACGAUCAGUCACACUGGAACUGAGACACGGUCCAGACACCUACGGGUGGCAGCAGUCGAGAAUCAUUCGCAAUGGGGGAAACCCUGACGGUGCGACGCCGCGUGGAGGAUGAAGGCCCUAGGGUCGUAAACUCCUGUCAUUAGAGAGUAAAGCUUUUCAAUUAAUAGUUGGAAAGUCUGAUAGUAUCUGAAGAGGAAGGGACGGCUAACUUCGUGCCAGCAGCCGCGGUAAUACGAAGGUCCCAAGCGUUGUUCGGAUUUACUGGGCGUAAAGCGUGCGUAGGCGGCGAGGUAAGUCAGAUGUGAAAUCCCGGGGCUCAACCCCGGAACUGCAUCCGAUACUGCCUUGCUAGAGUAAUGGAGGGGCAUCUGGAAUUCAUGGUGUAGCAGUGAAAUGCGUAGAUAUCAUGAGGAACACUAGUGGCGAAGSCGAGAUGCUGGACAUUUACUGACGCUGAGGUACGAAGGCCAGGGUAGCGAAAAGGAUUAGAUACCCUUGUAGUCCUGGCAGUAAACGGUGCUCGCUUGGUGUGGGGAGGUUCGACCCUCUCCGUGCCGGAGCUAACGCGUUAAGCGAGCCGCCUGGGGAGUACGGUCGCAAGACUAAAACUCAAAGAAAUUGACGGGGACCCGCACAAGCGGUGGAGCAUGUGGUUUAAUUCGAUGCAACGCGAAGAACCUUACCGGGGUUUGACAUCGUAGUGAAGUGUGCAGAGAUGUACAUGUCCUUCGGGACACUAUGACAGGUGCUGCAUGGCUGUCGUCAGCUCGUGUCGUGAGAUGUUUGGUUAAGUCCUCUAACGAGCGCAACUCCUGCUGCCAGUUGCUAUCCUUCGGGAGCACUCUGGUGGGACUGCCUGGGAAACCAGGAGGAAGGUGGGAAUGACGUCAAGUCAUCAUGGUCCUUAUACCCAGGGCUACACACGUGUUACAAUGGCCAGUACAAAGGGCUGCAAGACCGCAAGGUGGAGCUAAUCCCAGAAAGCUGGUCUAAGUUCGGAUUGGAGUCUGCAACUCGACUCCAUGAAGUUGAAAUCGCUAGUAAUCGCGUAUCAGAACGACGCGGUGAAUACGUUCUCGGGCCUUGUACACACCGCCCGUCACACCACGAAAGUUGUCUGUACCCGAAGCUUGUUUAGCUAACCCGUAAGGGAGGCGGCGAGUUAAGGUGUGGGCGAUGAUUGGGGUGAAGUCGUAACAAGGUAGCC
rnacentral:rRNA from 1 species